UUGGAGGGCAAGUCUGGUGCCAGCAGCCGCGGUAAUUCCAGCUCCAAUAGCGUAUAUUAAAGUUGUUGCAGUUAAAAAGCUCGUAGUUGAAUUUCGGGAUUGACGUGACGGUCGUGCCUUAAGGGGUAUGAACUGUCGCUGUUGAUUUCUCACCUUCUGGAGAAUCUCGAUGCCCUUUAUUGGGUGUCUUGUGGAUCCAGGACCUUUACCUUGAAAAAAUUAGAGUGUUUAAAGCAGGCAUUUUUGCUCGAAUACAUUAGCAUGGAAUAAUAGAAUAGGACGGCUUGGUUCUAUUUUGUUGGUUUCUAGGAUCACCGUAAUGAUUAAUAGGGAUAGUUGGGGGCAUUAGUAUUCAAUUGUCAGAGGUGAAAUUCUUGGAUUUAUUGAAGACUAACUACUGCGAAAGCAUUUGCCAAGGAUGUUUUCAUUAAUCAGUGAACGAAAGUUAGGGGAUCGAAGACGAUCAGAUACCGUCGUAGUCUUAACCAUAAACUAUGCCGACUAGGGAUCGGGCGAUGUUAUCAUUUUGACUCGCUCGGCACCCUAUGGGAAACCAAAG
rnacentral:rRNA from 1 species